rnacentral:rRNA from 1 species
AUUGAACGCUGGCGGCAGGCCUAACACAUGCAAGUCGAACGAGUGGCGGACGGGUGAGCAAUGUCUGGGAAACUGCCUGAUGGAGGGGGAUAACUACUGGAAACGGUAGCUAAUACCGCAUACCAUCAGAUGUGCCCAGAUGGGAUUAGCUAGUUGGGGGGGGAACGGAUCACCAAGGCGACGAUCCCUAGCUGGUCUGAGAGGAUGACCAGCCAAACUGGAACUGAGACACGGGCAAGACGCCGACGGGAGGCAGCAGUGGGGAAUAUUGGACAAGGGGCGCAAGCCUGAUGGAGCCAUGCGGCGUGUAGGAAGAAGGCCUUCGGAUUGUAAAGUACUUUCAGCGGGGAGGCGUUACCCACAGAAGAAGCACCGGCUAACUCCGUGCCAGCAGCCGCGGUAAUAC